rnacentral:rRNA from 1 species
UACGUAGGCAGCAAGCGUUGUUCGGAGUUACUGGGCGUAAAGGGUGUGUAGGCGGUUCCUUAAGUUUGCUGUGAAAUCUCCCGGCUUAACCGGGAGGGUGCGGUGAAUACUGAGGGACUAGAGUACGGGAGAGGAAAGUGGAAUUCCUGGUGUAGCGGUGAAAUGCGUAGAUAUCUGGAGGAAUACCGGUGGCGAAGGCGGCAUCCUGGACCAUUACUGACGCUGAGGCGCGAAAGCUAGGGGAGCAAACGGG